ensembl:lncRNA
CUUGGCAAAAUGGAAUAUCUGAAUUUUGAGUAUACUGAAUUCAAUUCAGCAAAUGUAUCUCCCUGCUUUGCCAUGCAGCCUGCUGUCCUAGACACUUCAAGGGCUUAGAAAAUGAGCCACAUUCUCUGUCUGUAAACAGACGUUUGUGACAUCACACAUGUUACAUGCUCACAGCAGCUUGCCCGUUUUCUGGCUUGAACUUUUAUCACAUCAAAAAGACCAAUGCCUGGCCUUUUCUAGACAGAUAAACAACUCUGUACCUGGAACAAAAAGACAAACCUACCAGCUCCAUAGUUGCCUAACACUCCUCAGAGAGGAACCAAGUGGGCCCUGCCUGGAUGCUAAUGGCAAGUUUGGCUCUUGGGAGCUGAAACUAAAAGGGACAAUGUAUUGUGCUCACAGGUACUAUACACAGGAGGAGCCUGAAGCUGACUAUGAGCCAAGUCUGUAGAGAGCACCCAAAGUCAAGAUUCCUUUAAGUCUCUCAGUCUUCAAAACCAAAGGUGAAGCGUGGAACUGGAUCCGGAUGACAAAGCAGAAAGGCUAAAAGUGAAGCUGGCAGAAGCUUAUUGACUUGUCCAAGUCAUAAGCUACUGGUAUCCAUUGCUGAAGAAAAAUUAUUCUGACUCUUGUUUAAAAUGGCAAGGAAGAGUUUAUGCAGGACUCUUGCAAGAGGGAGAAAGAUUGAGCUCAACGCUGAAUACAGCAAAGACAGGAAUUUACAGCCAGAGUGAGAGGAUCAGUAGAUGGAAAAUUCCUAAGAGGAGGUAUCAAGGGUAGGGGAAUUCUUGCUAAACUGGCUUAGCAGGAAUUUUGCUAAAGAAAGGUCAAGGUGGAGGCCUACUCAAGAAGAAGUUCGGAAAAGCCUGACUAAAGUUUGGUCGAAGGAGUCUUCAUCAUUGAGGGCUCUGUUUUCUAUUUUGUUUUGCUUUUUUCUUCCAACCAGUAUCUUCUGCCCCUAAGAGUUUGUACUGGUUAAUUGACAAAACCAGUCUUUGGUAGGGAGAGAAAAAAUAGUAAGAUAUGGCAGAGUUUAAAAUAGUUUCAUGGACUUAAGAAGAUUUUCUAACAAUUAAAACUGACAAGAAAAAUGUUUUCUGACUUCUAAAAUAUUUAUAAGAAAACAAAAGCAUGCUUCCCAUGAAAUGGUUAAAAAGACGUUUUUGAAAUGAUUGUCCUUACAAAUCUGUCAGAAAAUUAUACAAGUUUUGACCUCCGUCCAUCCACUUCCUACUCAAACAAAAAACAUGAAAUGAUGCCUCUGCUAAAAAUGGUCAAGCUUUACUUUCAUCCCUCCUCUCUCAAAUUUAAAAACAAAUUGCAAGAGGCUGAAGAAAACAUAUUAUUUUGAAAGUGUAGUUCAUUUCUCAAAGAUGUUAUUAUUUCCCUCAACAUACAGUAUGAGGUUUCGUGGGGUAGUCCAUGUAAUUUUUACAGCUAAGCAUAUGGUCUGAGGACAAAACAGUCAUGGUCCAUAGAAAGCCUGGAGACUUAACUCACAGCAUCCACUGCUUCACUGAAGUGGGCUGACAUUGAUUUCCUUAUAUAUCUGGGAAAGUUUAUGAAAGACUCUCUGUGAUGUAAGUAUCUUGGGGCUCUAUUCUUCACAGGAACCACGUGAAAAGAAGUAAGUCAUGGAACAUUUUUAUCUUUACAAAGGUUUAGUGUUAAAAUUCUGAUUGCCAAUUUGUACCAUAUUUAUGUUUAGUUGUGGAAGGGCUCAAUUCUCUCUAUGCACCUUGGCUUCUGGAUGUAAGGCAGAUACCCAUUUUUUUCCCCUUGGAAGAGAUGUUGGCAUUUGAGGUUGGGCCAAGAAAAGCUAAAGAGGCUAGGAAGCGCUUACAGAUGGAGAUAAUUAGCAUAUAAAAAAUAGGCCAGCCAGAUUUUUUUUUUUUUUUAAUCAGGAAGUAGUGGGGUAAAUGCUCUCUCUGGCAAGACUAUAGAAGCUGUGUGGACAGAGGAAAUGUGAUUCAAACCCUGGUAUGAGAAUGGUAUUUUACUUGAACCAGGUUUCAAAAGACUGGAGCAGGAGUUCCUUUUACUGAAAACCGUGGAGUUGGCGGGCUUUGUAGGGGCCUCCCUUCAAAUUCUGCUCCAAGGACACUGUUUUGAAUUUUGUUUGAAAGUCUUAGAAUGGGAGAUGUUUGGUUUCAGAAGACCCAGGAUAAACAUGGUGAACUCUAUUGCUUUCCAAUGCAUGGUAGCGGAAGUGGUAUUUCUGAUACCACCUCCCAUUGAAAGGGGAUUAUAGAAGAAGGUGGGAACCAUGGCCCUAGAACAAAACUGCUCAGGCUUCCAAGGGCUAUUUUGCCAAUCCUAAAGCAAAGGCCUGAGGCUGAUCUGGAUUCAGCUGCUAUCAAUGGGGUACGCUUAAUUGCCAGAUAAUUCACUGUGGUUUCCUGAAGUUCUGAUUCAGAGUCAGCCUUUCAGGUCAUGUGUUCCACCCAUUUUCUGAAGUCUGCUGUUAUUCAAAACAGACUUAAGGGAUGUCUGUCCGGAGCAGGGCUUCUCAAUGGGUGGUAUGGGCAAUGAUGACUGAAUACGGAAUUAUCCAUGUGGGCCAGCGGAUUUAUAACAACUACUAAAAAUUAACAAUUCCUCAGUUCUCAGUUCUCAUGGCCAUCUGGAAGUGUGGUCAGCCAUCUCUUCCUGACUCUACCAUGCAUGGAUUUUACAAAUUCAACACGUUAACAAUUCGUAUCUUGUAAAGCUUCUCUUUUAUUCUACAGGUAAUUAAAUACUGCAAAAAAAAAAAAAAAGGAGAGAUUAUGGAAUUUCUAUGAAAAACUAAAAAAAAAAUAGAAGGGAAAAUUAUUAGUCUCAGAUAAUUUCAUUGGUAACCUACUUAGAGGAAGGGGUUAGACCCAAAGACUCUUUCUUUAUUUCAACAGCCCUAACUCUACACUUAAAAAAGCAGCCACUCCUUCUGUUGUCAAGCUUGGGUCUUGGCUUCAUUAAUGAGCAGAAUCAGUGUAGGAGAGAGGUGGGGCAAGCACUGCUUAUUUUUAAUAUGCUUUAUUUGACUUUACAAAUUACAUACACAUUUCCAAAUUUACAUAAAAUGGAAAACUUUAAUUUAAAAAAUGGGAAAUAAUGACAACCAAAAAAUACAGCUUUGGAAUUGCUUAGGAGCAAUUUUUUUUCUGGUCUAGUUUCCUAGAUGUGAAGUGUAAUUCUCCUCAGCCCACCACUCAUAUUAAAGACAUAGUUCUGGGAGUUAUGUCAAAAUGAGAUAUAAGGCUGUUACAGACUGAAAGUUUGGGUCCCCCCCCAAAUUCCUGUGUAAACGCCCUGACCCCCAAUGUGAUGGCAUUUGGAGAUGGGACCUUUGGGAGGUAAUCAGGGCCAGAUGAAGUCAUGAGGGUGGAGCCCUCAUAAUGGCAUCAAUAUCCUUAGAAGCAAAGCUACCAGACAGCUUGCAGUCUCUCUCCCCUCCCAUUGUGAGGACACAGCAAGAAGGCAGCCAUCUACAAGCCAGGAAGGGAAGCCUCAUGGAACCCAACCAUGCUGACACCUUGAUCUUGGACUUCCAGCCUCCAGACGGUGAGGAAAUAAAUUUCUGUUGUUUAAGCCACCCAGUCUAUGCUAUUUUGUUAUAACAACCCAAGAUGACUAAGACAAAGGCCCACAGGGUACUUGGUGUGAUUUGUUUGACCAAGAAAUGCAUCACAACAUUAGCUAUCCAAAAUGUAUUUCUUUCACAACCAUACCUUUUUGCAAGGGAAAACCCCAAAGAACCUUAGAAAAGCAUUAUCUCGAUGCCUAUUGGAUACCUUGCUUCUUAAACAGCAUUUAAAACGACCAUCAAUGUUUUAUUUAAAAAAAUAUAUCACAAGGGGGCCAGCCCUGUGGCAUAGUGGUUGAGUUCAUGUGCUCUGCUGCCAUGACCCGGGGCUCGCAGGUUCAGAUCCUGGAUGCGGACCUCCACACUGCUCAUCAAGCCCAUGCUGUGGUUGCGUCCCAUCUACAAAGUAGGGGAAGAUUGACAUGGAUGUUGCCUCAGGGAUCAUCUUCCUCCAGCAAAAAAGAGGAAGAUUGGCAACAGAUGUGAGCUGAGGGUCAAUCUUCCUCACACACACACACAAAAAACAUACAAGGAAUAUGACAUUCUGCUGUGUUCUUGGCUACAUUAUGGUGUUUGGUUAAAAGUGCCCCUUAGCAAUGGUCAGAAUUGUUCUGGCUGGUUUUAAAAACACCAGAGAAAUUCUCAUUCUUCUGCAUGCCUGCUUGACUAAACAGACUUUGAAUUGGGCAUAUUUGGACAGUAGGAGGAAGCAACGGGACAGGAAACAAGUCCUUGCAUAUUGAUGAGUUUUCUUGUUGUGGACGGUGUGGCAGAUGAGAAAUGGUUACAAAAACUGCAAGUCGGUUAACCCAAGACUAUUUGAUUUUUGAAUGAAAUAUUGAGGAUGACAGGGUUUUUUUUAACCCUUAUUGUCAUUAAUUUUUAAAUUUACUAUUUUUUUCUCCCGAGAAGAAUUUAAACUUAAACCAUGCUAAGAAAGGCAUAGUGCCCUUGAUUAAUGCAGGAAAACCCUACAAAGAUUUCCCCAUCUGUCUUACACUCUCUGUCUGACAGCUGCUCAUCAAAGUGAUAAAAUAUUUGCAUCCAUUCAUUAGGCAAACAACCUGACCCCCUUUCCUUGAGAAAUAACCCAUAAAAAAGUAAAGUUACUACUAUUUCAAAGGGUUUACAAAUCCGACAGAUUUUUUUUUUCUUUAUAAGAAAUUAUCCUUCAACACCAUAAAGUAAAAUAACUGGUAGGGUGAUUGUAGAAUAAAAACCAGUUAGCAUUCAGAAAGGUUCAUGAGCUGUGUACUUGCUCGCAUCUCUGGAAUGAUGUCUGUUCUUGACAUUUAUGGUCUACCUCUUCCUUCCAUCCACCAAACACCCUACCGUGAAGGUCCUCAGGGACUAACUCUUCUUCCAAAUGCUACUUUUUCUUCCUCCACCCAUUACCUGGGAGCAAAAACAUCAAUAAUAUGCAGAAUGGGGUCUUGAUCCUACCCGGAAUGAAAAGAAAUGUAGUUUUCUCAGAGCCAAAGAAAUUCUAGCACUACAUUGCUUCUAGAAGGGAACAUAUUGAGGAUUCCAAUAUCAAUGGAGGCUUAGAAAUGACAGUCCAAAGCAACUGUCAUAAAGAAACAUUUUUUUAAACCUCUCCAUGUACUCAGAAGGGAAUCUAUAAGAAAGGAGGACAAAUGGGAAUCAUCA